UUGAGCAAUAACAGAUCGUUAAUGUGUGUUGCUGACCUUGGCCGGUGCCUCCACUGCCGGUUAGCGGUUUGGCAGGGAGUGGUCACGUGGUGACUGGGUUUUAGGGAGGACUCCGGACUGACUGGAGCUCAGCAGCAGCAUCCUCUUGCGACAAGGCGGUGUCACACCCUCUCCACCUCGCCACUGGCGGUGGGAAGGCGGGUGAGAAGAAACCCAGGCUAGGUUCUUCUUCCCGAUUAUUUCUUCUCCAAGCUCUCAACUCGUUCUACUUCAGUAUUGUCAGCUUCGCGAACCUGGCCUGUUUGGUUGUCUUUCCUCUGCACCCUGAAUGAGAAAAUCUAAUUCUGAGAGGGCCGGGAGAUGCCCUUCUGAAUGGGUCGUAAUAAUUCCUGUGAUCAUGUUUGAGGCUCUGUUCUGAAGCAGAAACUUUUGUUUCCUGACUACAAAUACACCACACGUCUGAACAGCCUGUGCACUGGAAGCUCCAUCUCAUACAUCUAUAGAAACAUGACUUGGUAACUGGAAUGUACAGUAUUUAAAGCUGUUCAGAAUUAUCUGUCUCCCCCCACCCCCCAUCCUGGGGCUUGGGGUGGGAACAAUGAGCUCAAUAGGAUCAUUGAUGACAGAAUUCAGGGAGAAAGAAAUGUCCCGGCCCAUGGCCUCUGGCUGGCAUUUCAGGACCCUCAACCUCCCUUGUCCACUUGAAACCCAGCAAAGGCCAUUUACCUUCUCCACAGUCGCUAACUCACCUGAGAAACCAGCUUCACCAAAGAGGGCUUCUGGGAAUUGGAACCUGCCCCUGGGGACUGGCUGGCCCAGUAACUACGGUGUUGGAUCAACAGACACUAAACAUUUAUUCACCAGGAAGGUGCAUAGCUGUGAUUACUGUGCACUGUUUCUUCCCAGCCAUGUCCAGCUGCCUUGACGCUCCCUUCCCAGGAAGAGGAUACAUUUCAACGUAAUUAAAAGUCGAGAGCUGUUUCCUGGACGUUGAGUAUAUCCAGUUACUACAUUGCUUUGUUUCAGCAAAUCCAGA